CCGUACAUAUGUCAUCAGUAGAUCAUUAUUAUAGGCAAUGACAGAGUCGUCCAACUGUAUGGAAAAUUAAGAAUUUUUAAGAAUACCUAUAAGUUUAUUUUCAACAUUAACCGCCAUUUCGUCUCUUUACUGUGCUAUUGCUAAGGGGCAAUGUGUUUAAAACUGCUGGUAUAUCCUGAUGCAUUACUGUUUAAUAAAUUCUUUGAUAGAGGGUAUUAUCAAUG